UGGGGAAUUUUGGACAAUGGGCGCAAGCCUGAUCCAGCCAUGCCGCGUGAGUGAAGAAGGCCUUCGGGUUGUAAAGCUCUUUCGGUGGGGAAGAAAUUGCUUCGAUUAAUACUCGGAGUAGAUGACGGUACCCGCAUAAGAAGCACCGGCUAACUACGUGCCAGCAGCCGCGGUAAUACGUAGGGUGCGAGCGUUAAUCGGAAUUACUGGGCGUAAAGCGUGCGCAGGCGGUUGUGUAAGUCAGAUGUGAAAUCCCCGGGCUCAACCUGGGAACUGCAUUUGAGACUGCACGACUAGUGUGUAGCAGAGGGGGGUAGAAUUCCACGUGUAGCAGUGAAAUGCGUAGAGAUGUGGAGGAAUACCGAUGGCGAAGGCAGCCCCCUGGGUUACUACUGACGCUCAUGCACGAAAGCGUGGGGAGCAAACA
rnacentral:rRNA from 1 species